CCAUUUUUUGAGAACACUUUUUCAGCCUUUUGUUUUUGUCUAAGUCCUCCUGUUGUUUUAGCUUAUUGUGCCACCUACAACUUCCCUCUAACCUUAUUAACCUCGUCUAACAAACUAUCAUAUUGUUGAGUAUGUAACUUUCUAGCUAAAGUCAAUAAGCAAAGGUUAUGCAAGCAUGGAAUACAACUUCAUUGGGUAUACAAAAGUUAUUUGAUAAAGCUUGAUAUUCUCAUAAAUGGUGAUUCUGGCAGAUUCACGAUAUGACUACAACCUAUUUGAUCAGAACAAGAUUAUAGGAUGCUCUGCAUAGACCAUUAUGUAAAGCUUUUACUGGAAAAAGAGGCAAUCACCUCUUUGCAAUAUGAAGAAAAUAGAACGAAGGCUGAAUAUCUAGAAAAAAAAGUCGCACAAAAAAACUAUACAUGUCCACGCCUCGCCAAGUCAUUCCUACAACAUGAAAGAUAUCCAACCUCUCAUAAUUUAUACCACAAAAACUGUACUUGUCCACACAAUGCGCCAAGUAAGUUCUACAAAUGCAUGCAUCAAGUACCAGUAGAAUACACUUUAAAAAUCACAAACAUGAGUUACAACAUCUAACUUAACAACUACUUUCAACAGAUAGUUCUAAUUCAUUACCACAUAUUAUUCGACUAGUAACAUAUUAGUUGUCCAUGCUCCUCACCCCAUCUCAAGUUUCCAUACAUGAGGUGAAUUGCAGCUUUUCUUUUAUGAUUUAUUUCCAUUGUGAUUUAAGAUUCUAUGAUUAUGUUAAAUAAAAUAACAUCGAAGUGUUAUAACUUAAAAAUGUCUCCUCUGCACGUGGCUCUAUCCAUUCUCCCUUUGUGCUAUCCUUUUUUUUUUCUUAUACGUCAGCCCAACCCAAUCAACAAUCCAACAACAAUACAAAUAUGGCCCCACCCCAUACCCUUCGUUUUUCUUCUUCUCUAGAAGUUCAAGAAAACUCAAUCCACGCGCUGCAAACUCCAGCAAAGUAGCGAACCAGACGCGACCAAAAUUGCGUGACCCGCGUCCCUCUCAACCAGUACAGUAGCAGCUGCACAUGAAUCGUGCUCAAUUCUUCCAGGUGGAGAAAUCUCAGGGCCUCCAUCGUCCUUCAUUCAAGAAUGAAUGGCUGCGAUUUUCAUUUAGUUGAAGAUGGGUACUAUUGACAGCUCCUCAACCAACUCUUAAUGGGUAUUCAAAUUUCGAAUUCGAAAAUGACACCCAAUUCCCUCCCAUUUUCCCCCCGUUUUCAGCCUUAGUUUCUCCUAUAUAAAUCCCUUUCUCCUUCCCUAUUGGGGUGCAAGAACAGUGGGUAAAAGAUACAAGAAAAAGACUGAAAUUCAUCAAGCAUAUGGAAGGAAAAACUGAGCAAAAAUAUACCAAGAUCCGGUCACCAUUUUACCUACAAAGGAAUAGCUUACAAUUUUUUUUAAAUAGUAGAGUUUAUAUCAAAGAGAUUCUGGAAAAUCUUCUAGUCUAAAGUCCUAGAAGUUUCAUUGUUUGAGUUUUUGGUUUGGACUCCUUGUUUGUUGUUCGAGUCUGACUCGCGUGAUAGGAUUCUCCUUGUAGUGGUGGAAGGUUUUGCAGGGCUUGUUAAAAAAGGUAACAGUUCUUCGAUUCGCUUGUCUUUUGUAUUUCCUAAAGUGAUGUAUUGCUAUCAAUAAUUAUUGAGUUCGAAAUAUAUACCUUUUUUGUGAUGUUUCUGGUUGUUCCAUUGUCUGCUAAUUGAAAUAUAGUUUUCGUUUAUUCAUGUCUAGACUCAUUGCUUAGUUGUUGGUUUUCUUUAGAAUAGUUCACUAUCUCUUUAGAGUUUGUCUUUGGAUGCCACAAGUCUACCUGUCUUUUGGCUUCCCUAUUUGGUUUUUAAAAUCAGUGCCUAAUUUUCUCUGAGGAAAGACAAAAAUCUCGAAGAUUAGAUAAUAUUUGAAUAGUAUGUUGUACUAGUCACUGUGUUGUAUGCAAAAGCUUGCCUGCUCCAUUUUUAUCUAGUUCAUUGUCUAUCCUGUCUUUAGAGUGUAUUGCUUGCAUCAGGCUCGCAUUUUUACAUUGCGCACAUUUUAGUAGAAAAUGUUCAUUAUGUGUAAUUGGUCCCCUUUAUGUUUAUUUCCUGGAAAGAAUUGAGGCAUUGCACAUGGCAUCAGUUUGUUGUGAAUAUAACAAAAGUUCACUGUGCCUAUUAUACCUUUUAGUUCCAUUUUUGCUUAGGCAUAUCAUGCUCUAGUUACCUUCUCUCCGAUUCUUUAAGUUUCAAUGCUCACUACUAUGUGUAUGCGCCACUAUCAAGUAUUAUAACUUGCAUAUCAACUUUGUCACUCUUAAUUUGGUUCAUUGGAUUUUCUCUAUAGUCAUAUGCAUUGGUUAAAAUUGAGUAUCUUUAAGUGGCUUUUCAUUUUGUAUUUUAUUUGAGAUAUGUUUUAUUUAUUUUAUCAUUUCAUAUGCUAAUUCAGCUAUAUUUUAUCCCAUGUGAAAUUCAUUUUGGGUCCUGUGGACUUUAUGUCUCCCCUCGCAUUUCUUGGUUGAGCCCCCAAAGGCUCAGACCUUCCUGGUCGAGUUGGUCAGCCUUCUAAAAAUGGUGAACAGGUUCAAGGCAACAAUAUGUUGCUGGAAAUUAAUUUUCCAGCCUUUGAAAGCCGAAAUAUAGGUUAAUAUACUGAUUGUAUACAAUUAUAUACGGUCAGAAUAUACAACAAACAGGUGCAAAAACGUGAAAAUACAGGUUGAAAAUGAAAGUCAGGGCGGAGAUGAAGUAUAAGUCCCGUAUACAUUGUAUACUUGGUAUAUACAGCAGGCUCAACAAGAAGAAAAAGCCUGAUUUGUCCCAAAUUUGCAUCAGAUUUGAAAUAUGGGCAAAAAGCCCAAAUUUGAAUAUUAUUCUUCCUUUAUCUUAUUUACUUAUUUAUUUAUUUAA